AAUCCAUAGGUUAAUGAGGCGAACCGGGGGAACUGAAACAUCUAAGUACCCCGAGGAAAAGAAAUCAACCGAGAUUCCCCCAGUAGCGGCGAGCGAACGGGGAGGAGCCCAGAGCCUGAAUCAGCAUGUGUGUUAGUGGAAGCGUCUGGAAAGGCGCGCGAUACAGGGUGACAGCCCCGUACACAAAAGCGCAUGUGCUGUGAGCUCGAUGAGUAGGGCGGGACACGUGGUAUCCUGUCUGAAUAUGGGGGGACCAUCCUCCAAGGCUAAAUACUCCUGACUGACCGAUAGUGAACCAGUACCGUGAGGGAAAGGCGAAAAGAACCCCGGCGAGGGGAGUGAAAAAGAACCUGAAACCGUGUACGUACAAGCAGUGGGAGCACCCUUUGGGGUGUGACUGCGUACCUUUUGUAUAAUGGGUCAGCGACUUAUAUUCUGUAGCAAGGUUAACCGAAUAGGGGAGCCGGAGGGAAACCGAGUCUUAAUUGGGCGUUAAGUUGCAGGGUAUAGACCCGAAACCCGGUGAUCUAGCCAUGGGCAGGUUGAAGGUUGGGUAACACUAACUGGAGGACCGAACCGACUAAUGUUGAAAAAUUAGCGGAUGACCUGUGGCUGGGGGUGAAAGGCCAAUCAAACCGGGAGAUAGCUGGUUCUCCCCGAAAGCUAUUUAGGUAGCGCCUCGUGAAUUCAUCUCCGGGGGUAGAGCACUGUUUCGGCUAGGGGGCCAUCCCGGCUUACCAACCCGAUGCAAACUGCGAAUACCGGAGAAUGUUAUCACGGGAGACACACGGCGGGUGCUAACGUCCGUCGUGAAGAGGGAAACAACCCAGACCGCCAGCUAAGGUCCCAAAGUCAUGGUUAAGUGGGAAACGAUGUGGGAAGGCCCAGACAGCCAGGAUGUUGGCUUAGAAGCAGCCAUCAUUUAAAGAAAGCGUAAUAGCUCACUGGUCGAGUCGGCCUGCGCGGAAGAUGUAACGGGGCUAAACCAUGCACCGAAGCUGCGGCAGCGACACUCAGGUGUUGUUGGGUAGGGGAGCGUUCUGUAAGCCUGCGAAGGUGGCCUGUGAGGGUUGCUGGAGGUAUCAGAAGUGCGAAUGCUGACAUAAGUAACGAUAAAGCGGGUGAAAAGCCCGCUCGCCGGAAGACCAAGGGUUCCUGUCCAACGUUAAUCGGGGCAGGGUGAGUCGACCCCUAAGGCGAGGCCGAAAGGCGUAGUCGAUGGGAAACGGGUUAAUAUUCCCGUACUUGGUGUUACUGCGAAGGGGGGACGGAGAAGGCUAUGUUGGCCGGGCGACGGUUGUCCCGGUUUAAGCGUGUAGGUGUGUGUUCCAGGUAAAUCCGGUUCACUUUAACACUGAGGCGUGA
rnacentral:rRNA from 1 species